GAGAGGGAGCAUGAGAAACGGCUACCACAUCUAAGGAAGGCAGCAGGCGCGUAAAUUACCCAAUCCUGACUCAGGGAGGUAGUGACAAGAAAUAGCAAACCGGGAACCUCAUGGUUUCACGGUAUUGCAAUGAGAACAAUUUAAAACCCUUAGCGAGAAUCAAGUGGAGGACAAGUCUGGUGCCAGCACCCGCGGUAAUUCCAGCUCCACUAGCGUAUAUUAAAGUUGUUGCAGUUAAAAAGCUCGUAGUUGAACCUCUGUCUGGGGCUAGUUUUGGCUUUGGUCAGGCCAGUUCUAGGCAUCCGCCUACAAGACUUAGAGGGCAUUCAGUUGUUCACUAGGAGGAGUAGGCAUUUUACUUUGAAAAAAUUAGAGUGUUUAAGGCAGGCAAUCGCCCGCAUAUAUUAGCAUGGAAUAAUAGAAUAGGACACUUUUCCAUUUCGUUGGUUAUUGGAAUCGUGUAAUGAUUAAUAGGGACAGUUGUGGGCAUUUGUAUUUAAUUGUCAGAGGUGAAAUUCUUGGAUUUAUUAAAGACAAACUAAUGCGAAAGCUUUUGCCAAGGAUGUUUUCAUUAAUCAAGAACGAAAGUUAGGGGAUCAAAGACGAUCAGAUACCGUCCUAGUCUUAACUAUAAACUAUUCCGACUCAAUGUUUGACUGGCUUAUAUAACCAGUUGAGCGUUGUAUGAGAAAUCAAAGUCUUUAGGUUCUGGGGGGAGUAUGGUUGCAAAGCUGAAACUUAAAGGAAUUGACGGAAGAGCACAACCAGGAGUGGAUUCUGCGGCUUAAUUUGACUCAAUAUGGGGAAACUUACCAGGUUAAAACAAUAGUGGGAUUGACAGUUUGAGAGCGCUUUCUUGAUUGGUUGGGUGGUGGUGCAUGGCCGUUCUUAGUUGGUGGAGUGAUUUGUCUGCUUAAUUGCGUUAACGAACGAGACCUUAACCUGCUUACUAGACUGGCGAUCAUCAAUCGUUAGCUCUUCUUAGAGGGACUUUGGUUGUUUUAACUCCAAGGAAGUUUGAGGCAAUAACAGGUCUGUGAUGCCCUUAGAUAUCCUGGGCCGCACGCGUCAUACAAUGACUAGUUCAGAAAGUUUUCUCCUGACCCGAAAGGGGAUGGGUAAUCUUGAUAAUACUAGUCGUGUUAGGGAUCGAUCUUUGCAAUUAUAGAUCUUGAACGAGGAAUUCCUAGUAAGUGCGGUUCAUCAGACCGUACUGAUUACGUCCCUGCUCUUUGUACACACCGCCCGUCGCUUCUACCGAGUGGGUGGUCCGGUGAGAUAAUUGAA
rnacentral:rRNA from 1 species